rnacentral:rRNA from 1 species
UACGUAGGGUGCGAGCGUUGUCCGGAAUUACUGGGCGUAAAGAGCUCGUAGGUGGUUUGUCGCGUUGUUCGUGAAAACUCACAGCUUAACUGUGGGCGUGCGGGCGAUACGGGCAGACUUGAGUACUGCAGGGGAGACUGGAAUUCCUGGUGUAGCGGUGAAAUGCGCAGAUAUCAGGAGGAACACCGGUGGCGAAGGCGGGUCUCUGGGCCGAUACUGACGCUGAGGAGCGAAAGCGUGGGGAGCGAACAGG